rnacentral:rRNA from 1 species
UACAGAGGAGCCAAGCGUUGUCCGGAUUGACUGGGCGUAAAGCGCACGCAGGCGGAUGCGCGCGUGGGGUGUGAAAUCUGGCCGCUUAACGGCCAGGCGCCAUCCCAUACGGCGCGUCUGGAGUGAUGCAGAGGUCGGUGGAAUUGCCGGUGUAGCGGUGAAAUGCGUAGAGAUGUGGAGGAAUACCAAUGGCGAAGGCAGCCCCCUGGGAUAAUAUUGACGCUCAUGCACGAAAGCGUGGGGAGCAAACAGG